rnacentral:rRNA from 1 species
CCUACGGGUGGCAGCAGUGGGGAAUAUUGCGCAAUGGGCGAAAGCCUGACGCAGCGACGCCGCGUGAGGGAAGAAGGCUUUCGGGUUGUAAACUUCUUUUAAGGGGGAAGAGCAGAAGACGGUACCCCUUGAAUAAGCCACGGCUAACUACGUGCCAGCAGCCGCGGUAAUACGUAGGUGGCAAGCGUUGUCCGGAUUUACUGGGUGUAAAGGGCGUGCAGCCGGAGAGACAAGUCAGAUGUGAAAUCCACGGGCUCAACCCGUGAACUGCAUUUGAAACUGUUUCCCUUGAGUGUCGGAGAGGUAAUCGGAAUUCCUUGUGUAGCGGUGAAAUGCGUAGAUAUAAGGAAGAACACCAGUGGCGAAGGCGGAUUACUGGACGAUAACUGACGGUGAGGCGCGAAAGCGUGGGGAGCAAACAGGAUUAGAUACCCCUGUAGUC